AGCUUAGGCAAGAAGAAGAUAAAGGAAAGAAAGUAAAAAAAAGGAAGAGAGAGAAAAUAGAAGAAAAUGAGGAGGGUACAUGUGAUAUACUGGAUCUUAGCAAAUAGACAAGGUUGCAGUAUAAAUUUUUAGUCAGUAAGUUUUAUACAAUGCUUGAUUAAGUUGGAGACAUUUUGGUGUAAAAUAGAUGCAAAAACGGAUUCAGAACUUAAGAUUUAAUUUGUAGAGGACUGAUGUUAAAAUAUGUGAAGUUGAGGGACUUUU
rnacentral:lncRNA from 1 species